rnacentral:misc_RNA from 1 species
CUCCUCAAAACAACGACAAUCGCCUCUAUAAGACCAUCAAAGCGAACAAAAAAUGUUCUAUUCUCGUCAGAAUAUCUCAAGAACUCCACCAUCUUCCCCAGCGAUUCAAGUCUUAGUCUCUUAAUCUCCUCAAUCCAAAUUCCAACUUGCUGCUCCGAGACGGUGGUCGCCGUAGGCGUAGAGUUGCCAGAGUCAGGGCGGCGAGUGGAGGAUUGUGUCCAGAGGUUGAUGAGACGAUGGAGAGUGAGGUUGGGUAUGAAGUCCUUGGUGGCAAGGACCUGCAUCGUGGCGGGACAAGUGUCGUGUCCGGACUCGAGCCAGUGCUGAAUACUAGAACGAUCGUAUGUGACGCCGGUGCAGAGACUAACGGGAGACUUCAUUACGUCGAGAGAUAUCGGGCAGCGGAAGAGAUUGGGUACGGUUAUGCACAGUUCGUUUCUCCCCAUCUUUUUCGUUUCCUUCGUUCUCACAGAGGAGAUAGAUGUGUU